CUGUCUGUGCCGAGUGUCUGUCUGUCCCGUGUGUCCGUCCCGUGUGUCCGUGUGUCCGUCCCGUGUCCAUCUGUCCGUCUGUCUGUCCCUCAUUUCCAGAAGAGCACGUUCCAGAGCAGCAGCCAGCAGGGGUAGGCCCCCAGGGUGAGGAGGGGGCUCAGGUGGGCUCCGUGCAGGUGCUCCUGGAGCAGCCCCUGGCCCAGAGCCCCCAGGAAUCGCUGCCAGGCCUCGCCCAGACCCGCCGGGGCCUCCAGCAGCUCCCGCUCCAGCAGCACCGCCAGGAACAGCGAGACCCCCGGGGACGUCAGCAACAGCAGCACCGCCAGGGGGAACCUGGGGUGGGGAGGGGGUGUCAGAGACCCCCAGGUGUCCCCAGGUGUGUCUGUCACCUGCCCCGGGUGUGGCCCCAGGUGUGUCUCACCUGUCCCCAGGUGUGUCCCAGGUGUACCCAGGUGUAUCUCACCUGUCCCCAGGUGUGUCU
rnacentral:lncRNA from 1 species